rnacentral:rRNA from 1 species
ACUUCGGUGUGAGUAAAGCGGCGGACGGGUGAGUAACGCGUAGGAAUCUACCUAGUAGUGGGGGACAACUCGGGGAAACUCGAGCUAAUACCGCAUACGCCCUACGGGGGAAAGCGGGGGACCUUCGGGCCUCGUGCUAUUAGAUGAGCCUGCGUCGGAUUAGCUAGUUGGUGGGGUAAAGGCCUACCAAGGCGACGAUCCAUAGCUGGUCUGAGAGGAUGAUCAGCCACACCGGGACUGAGACACGGCCCGGACUCCUACGGGAGGCAGCAGUGGGGAAUAUUGCGCAAUGGGCGAAAGCCUGACGCAGCCAUGCCGCGUGUGUGAAGAAGGCCUUCGGGUUGUAAAGCACUUUCAAUUGGGAGGAAAGGUUCACGGUUAAUAACCGUGAGCUGUGACGUUACCUUUAGAAGAAGCACCGGCUAACUCCGUGCCAGCAGCCGCGGUAAUACGGAGGGUGCGAGCGUUAAUCGGAAUUACUGGGCGUAAAGCGCGCGUAGGUGGUCUGUUAAGUCGGAUGUGAAAGCCCCGGGCUCAACCUGGGAACUGCAUCCGAUACUGGCAAACUAGAGUGCGGGAGAGGGAGGUAGAAUUCCAUGUGUAGCGGUGAAAUGCGUAGAUAUGUGGAGGAAUACCAGUGGCGAAGGCGGCCUCCUGGCUCGACACUGACACUGAGGCGCGAAAGCGUGGGGAGCAAACAGGAUUAGAUACCCUGGUAGUCCACGCCGUAAACGAUGUCUACUAGCUGUAGGGGUACUUGAGACCUUUGUAGCGCAGCUAACGCAAUAAGUAGACCGCCUGGGGGAGUACGGCCGCAAAGGUUAAAACUCAAAUGAAUUGACGGGGGCCCGCACAAGCAGUGGAACCAUGUGGUUUAAUUCGAUGCAACGCGAAGAACCUUACCAGGCCUUGACAUCCUCGGAACUUUCUAGAAGAUAGAUUGGUGCCUUCGGGAACCGAGUGACAGGUGCUGCAUGGCUGUC